rnacentral:tRNA from 1 species
GCCAACGUAGCUUAAUACAAAGCAUAACACUGAAGAUGUUAAGAUGAGCCCUGAAAAGCUCCGUAAGCA